UGCUCACUGUGGUGAAUAAUCAUGGUUUUUCAAGGGAUGAUUUUAACAUCGAGCAUAAAAUCCAUCAAAGGACGUUAAUUUGGGAAUGCUACAAUGAGUUUUUUAUCUUCUAAAAUUUGUUUUAAAGUUCUUCGAAAUGGUUUAGAAAAGCCUUCCAUUGAUUUUGCAGAUUUUCUUACAUACGCAGAGCCAGAAACUGUCGUCCUUCUUCUCAAGUUUUCCAACUCUGGUGCUGUCUUGAAUGUUACAAUUGAGAAGAUCCAAGGAGGCAAUGAUUUAAGAUUUGUUAUAUGAAAAUAAGGUCAAUACUUUCCAAGGAGGAUAGCUUCAGAAGCCUAUCAAGCAAUGAUGAAUUAGAGGGAUAUAAAGAAGAUGGCUAUGAGUGUUGCUCUAGGAGUUUCAACUGAUUCUAUUGGUGAAUCAGGUGGAUGGAUGGUUCGGAAGGGAAUGCACACUAGCCAGUUCCUGCAGCAAAGAACGGACACUGACGAUCAAACAGAGACAGGUGAAACAUGUACAAAGCCCAAAUGCAAUUCUGUGAGGAUUCAAAGCUUAUGAAAGUUUUCUUAGAAGUUGUGAGAUCACUCUAUGAACUUUUAUGAGGUUACAAACAGUAACUAUACACAGGGUGUUUGUUCUAUUCAUGAGGCAAGAUACUUUUUCAAGCAGAUUAUAUCAAGAGCGAGUGAUUGCCAUGAUGUAGUAAGGAAUGACUUACGAAGUUCUACUCAACUCCCGCAGACAUACUAAAGCUUUGUUUAUCAUCCCUGUAGUCACAUUAUUUUCAAUAUUCUCAUAGCAAAUACACCAGACUUAGAGGAAAUUGGAAAUAUACCACUUUGUUUAUAAUCAGGGUCGAAUGAAACCAUAUAUGACAUCGAGUUUCCAUUUUGGUGAAAAGAAUUCUGUGUUUGGGUAAGGGUAAUAUCACCUUGAUUUAAAACUCAUCUAUGUUUUAAGUGAUUGUAUGGGAUCAUCAUUCUCUGUGUAGCCUGAACUCUUUAUUAAUUAAUCAGCACCAGAUAACCAAAAAAAAAAAAAAAUCAUUGACAGAGUCUUUGAUUUUCAGAUUAACCUAAAAAUAAAAAAGAAUAUGAAAAAGUUGGUUGUUUAUAUGACGCCAAUUAUAUGACACCAAUAAACACUUCUAAACUAAAAAUAAUAAACAAGCCUUAAAAAUUGGUUGUUUAUAUGAUCCAUCAAUAAAAAAACAUUUUCAACAAUUCUAAAUAUAUUACAAUGGGAUUUAAAUGUUCUGGUUUUUUCGUUUACAAGCCAUAACAAUAGAAGUUUUUCUCCUCACUUAAAGUAACAAACCUAGAAAUCUCAGAAUCAAACAUUGUACCAUAUCGUGCAAAAGAUUGCUAAACUAAGAAAUAUAUAUAUAGAAUAAUUAAUAAUUAUAAGAAAGAAAAAUACUAAGAAAAUAAACAAAAUAGUAAAAAAAUUUAUCCAUGCUGUCAAUAUUUUUAAACCCGACUUGGACAUUGAACCAUACUAAUUCCAGGAUCACCAGCUCAUUGUAUCGAUUGUUUCUAAACCAUGGAUCAAUAAAUUAAUAAAUCUUAUUAUAUAUUAAUAUAAUAUUAUUAAUCGCCUAAAAUAUUAGAUAAUAUCAAAAACAUGUUUUAUAUCAAAAUAUAAUUGCAAAUUUUAUUUUAAAUCUCAAUUUUUUAUUUUGCCAUGAAAAACAAAUUAUUUAACUAAUUUAUUAAUAAUAAAUUAGGACUUUGGACAAAAAUUAAGAAAAAAUAAUUAAAUAGCAAUUACUAUUUAUAAAAGAAAGUUUUGGCUAUUAAAAAAAACUUUUAAAUCUAAAAAAUUACAUUGCGAAGAUUUUCUUUAAUUGUUACCUCCAGUCUAUUAUGUAUAUACUAUUAGAUUCCCAUCUUUAUUUAUAAUGUUAUACCAAUUAAGUUUGUGUAAAGGUCAAUUUAGGUUAGAGCAUUACCAAUUGAUGCAUUUGGCUUCUCGCUAGACUACCUCCAUCAUAAACUGCUUAAUAUUUAACUUUAAGAGUCUAAAAUAAUAAUCGAAGUAUGUUUAUACUCUAACAUACAUACGAUAUUGCAAGGUUGUGUAUUUUAUACACAAUACUAAUGACAAAUAUAUCUGCAUAUGUGUAAUGCACAUAAUCAAUCCAAAGUACUUUAUGUAGUAUCUAAGCAUGGAAUUGUUUAUAAUGAAAUCUUCCACAGGUUUCACAGUAUUAUAAUAAAUACUGAUUUACAAAAUAAUAAGUACCAAACACAUUUUAAAAUUGAAAUAUCAUAUUAAAACAAAUAAAUGAUAUAGUAUAGCACAUAAUAAAAGUACUCUAUUUUAAACUUCUAUGUUUAAGUUAUACUCUCUCUAUUUCAAAAUUAUCAAUGUUUUGGAUAACAAAAAAAGAUUUAAAAGAUAUUUAUUUUUUUACAUUCUCAAUGUAUUUUUACUAGGUAAUAAUUGUAAAUUGUAAACUUCGAAAUAAAUAAAUUGUGAUUACUGAAUUUUGACCGGUUAAAAAUUAUAGAAAAUAGUUAAUCACAAAGAAUAAUACAUUUAUAAUCAAUAUAUAAGAUAAGUUUUUAUAUGUAUGAAAAUUUAAAAUUACAUAUUUUAAACAUUAAUUUAUAAACAAACAAACCGCGCGUAGCGCGGUAAAAUCUCUAGUACUAUAAUAAAAGGGUUAUAUAAUCAACAGGGAGAGUGUCCACGUAGGAUAAUAAAAUCGACCAAUCAGAAGAUUCCGUUUUGACACGUCAGCAAACUCUCUCUUCUUUUGGUGGGCCUUACUUACACGAUAAAUAUUUAUUAUACGAUCGCGUUUUCGUAUGAAUUAUUUAUUGGGUUAGAAAAAUCUUCUUUCUCUUAACUUUUUAUCUUCAGUAUCUCUUCGGCUUCUUCUCUUUCUCAGGGGUAAAACAGAGACUGCUAGGUUACAAGGAAGUAGAUGAAACACAACAAACAACAGAUUUCAAGCAAAAAGAUUUGGAACAUGGGGAAGAACACGAAGGAGGCUACGCCUCGACCUCCGAUGAACACCGACGGCAUGGAGAUUCAGUUAUCUGGUCAUCACUACGACGGGGUGUCCAUGCCAGCCGAUAGAACUGUCGCCGGUGUACUUUCAAAGCACCGCCGUCUCGGAGGGGGUCCUGCGGCCACAUAACGUCGGAUUCGCAAAGAACACCGACUCCCUAUCUCUCCAUAUUGACUGCGAAGAGGCUCCACCACUCAUAGGUCCGAACAAUCACAUGAUCCUCCUCCUACACUCACCGUUCGAGAAGUAACUAUGUCGGAAAGUAAACGAACCUGGAGAACCGCCUUCUCCGUGGUAGAUCCGCCGUCAAACGAGCCCCUCCCAACAGAUCGAUACAAACCCUAGAAAUUCCAAUGACUGAUUUUCAUUAUUCGCCGGGGCUCCACCGUCCUCUAGCAGAGCAACACCUUCGACCAACGAGCCGCCAGGACCCAUGAGGCACUCCUAGGGAUCCGCCGCGCCAUGGAUUGAAAAAUGGUAUCGGAAAAAGGAGAAGAGAAGCACCACUGAAACGUCACCGGAUGCCAACUACUUCGUCAGUAAGCUCAGACGCCGAAGGAGGGGGUGGGUGGGAGCCGGCCUGACUGUCCGACGAAGCUAAUUAUGAUUGUUAGAUUUGAUGUUUUUGAUCUUACAGAUGUGAAACACCAUGAUUUUGUACGUUAAGGUUUGGCGUUUUUGAGACCUUUGCAGCGAAAGGGGAUGAUUGUGCAAGAGAUUGCAGAGAAAAGAUGCAGAUCAUGGUUGCAGGUGGUGAUGGUACAGGUGCUCGGGUUCGCCAAUCUCUUAUCCAGAAGUAGGUGGGAAUGUCAAUAUACUGUUGACAGAAGUUUUCAGCUGGCAUAGCUCCAUGUAUAGUAGUGAUAUUCUUCCCCUCUCAAGUGUGUAAUGAAAGUCAUCCACCAUGGAGUUUUCUCUAUAAAUAAGUUUUUGAUGUUGGUUAUGUUUGAAAGUGACAAGGACCCGGUAAGUACUCUAGAUAAGUAGGUGUAUUCAUAUAAUUGGAGAAUAAACAGCGUGUCAUUGUUGGUUUGUUUCAAAGACGAGAAUAAAAAGCCUUACUAGAAGUUUUUAAGACA